rnacentral:lncRNA from 1 species
AUAAGAGUGCAACCUCCGCAAAGGCAUCCAAUUGAAUAAACCACGUGGAAAACGCAAGGUCCGAUCGCAACGUGUUUGGUGUGUACGAAAAGCGAUUGGAUUUGGUAAAAACGUUUUAUGCACCUGCGCGCAGAGGUCUUACAGUUCUGCAUAAGAUACAGUUAUCGUUGAAUGUCAAUUUAGGAUUUGGAAGUCGUUGUAAUCUUUCUCAUGUCAUGUCCAUGUGGUCCGAUAAGGCCAAGGAACUCUGUCAUCUCGUCGUAACACAAGCAGUGCGCGGUACCUGCGAUUUACCAUGAAGAGGCGCAUCGCCGCCGCCAUGUCCCACAUUUCAAGCCCGGGCGCCAGGGGGUGCGAUAUGUACGUCUGGGCCUAGUACGAGCGGCACAAACCCGACAAUACCCGACACGUCAGCUUUCCCGUCCAUGUCGGCAUCCGCAUUUCCUCAAUACCCCCAGAAGCUGUGCUGCGUCAAUCUGACACCUGGACACCUCCCAUUCAGCAUCUUCCCGAAGUCUUUCGUAAGCACGCGCACUCGUGCACACAUGUUCCCCUCUUCGUGCGUAUGCUGUAGCCGCUGCGUUCGCUUGCGCUGUGCAUGUGCUCGGGUGAGACAAACCCGUCUGUAGAGCUCCACGCGUACACCUCACGCCGCGGCUCGCUGCCCUGUUGCCUCAAGGACAGCUUUACGUUCACGUUUCCAACUUGGAAAAGAGUGAGGCGGUGGCGUAUCAUAGUCGAAAAGGGCAUGAUAUGGCUUCCACGUUGGUUCGCCAGCCCCAGCCGUUGCCAUUGUGAUUGCCUGUUGUGGGUUGUGAGGCGGGGAGGCGGGGUGGGUUGUGAGGCCGAAGAGCAUACCGUAUGCUGAUGUAUUGUAUGUAAGGCAAGGAAUGCUGCAUGCGAUGCGGUCAGUCCUCCAGCAAUAUCAACGCCAGGCCAGACCAGACCACCGAACCAAGUAGUAAGAUUUGUUGGCUUGGGCGUGAAGGUCCGAAGCGAUUGUAGGAAAUAGAGUAACUCUUUCCUUGUCAUCCUCUUCGAUUAUAUCCAGGAGUGACCGCGUCCCAUUUGGUUGAUCCCUAUGGCUCGUCAAAUUUGGUUGUCCCAAUUUUUUCACUUAUUCCUUGCUAAUUCCCCCAAAGGGGACUGAACUUUUCAAGGUCUUUCUGUACAAUUGUCGUACAAUACUGGAUCCGGUCGGUGUCGCAGCUUCUAGUGGUCCCACUCAACCGGUUCUGCCAUCCAUGCAGUUGGUCUGAGGACUGGCCGCUGGUAUCGUCUCAAAAGGAAGCGUCGUUCUAUGUCCGACUGAGAGCACGUCGUACAGCCAUCCUAGCUCUUCCUAGCCUGUACAGGACCUUCACGCCUUUGGUUUAGAAGGCAAUGCUACGGAGCGCAUGGUUGGCGGCAUGAUUUACCCGAGUUGCACAUCAUUACAAGAUGAUGUGCUUUGCGUGUACAGGAUCGCCUGCGGACAGCUCUAGGUUGCGGGUGGGAAA